GCCCCGUUGGUCUAGUGGUAUGAUUCUCGCUUAGGGUUCUUCACACUUCCCAUCUGCGAGAGGUCCCAGGUUCGAGUCCUGGGCGGAGCC